AGACUUUAGUAUAAGAAAGAGACUUUGUUCUGCCAUGUAAGAUUACCAAAUAUCUUAAACAAUAGAAGGGCAGGGCCCUCCAAGUAACUUUUUCCAUAAUACUUGAUUGAGUGACUUUUUUUUUUUACCAAUUUUAUUAUUUUUGCUUCUACUCUUGUAAUUUGCCAAUAAGAAUUUCAGCUCCAAAUUUAAAGUUUAGGUCCCUAAAGUUACACACCUAAAUCUACAGGUAAGCACUAAAAUAAAAAGUGGCUUGUAUUUUUUGAGGUGCUGAGCACCCACAACUCUCUUCAAACCUCUGGGUUCCAACACAUCUGAAAAUCCGACAGCUUUUAUUAAGCUACUUCUAAGCAUGGAAUUAGGUGCAUAACUUUAGGCACCUAAUUUUGAAGACCGGUGCCUACAUCUCUAAUAUUUUAUUGGUAUGCUGUAUUUCAAGUGAGCUCACCCUUCACAUCUCCAACUGUAAUAUUAACCAGGACAAACUGGGGAGUGCUCAAACAGCAGCUUCAGAAUGGGCCCCCUUGUUUUACGUUUAAGAGAGGCUGAGGUGUAUGUGUAACAGCGAUGUAAUGCUACAUGUCCACUGAAGAUUUCAGGCAGGGCCACAAGCUGACCAACACAUUUUCAAAAUUUUAGGAUGUUCACAAUUUUUUCAUGAAAAAUUUCAAAAUAAAAAAAAAGUCUUUUUUUUGGAUCAUUUUCCAACCAGCUUCAGUGAUUAGUGAACAGACAAAGGAUUGAGGGAUGUAGGAGAGAGAUCUGACAGCAAGAAAGCCAGAAAGAAACCCAUGAAUGGAAUGCUUUUUCAGAAGAAAACUAUAGAGUAGACCUGUCUGCAUGCAUAAUCUACCAGACCAGGAGCAAAACUUCAUGUCAAACAAUAGCUUCUGCUCCAAAUCUUAACAGAAUUCCUAAUCUGGAGCAGGUGAUAAAAAACCUGGGAUCAGAACUGCUGUCCAAAGGGACUGAAUCAUAUGAGGAUGCAAGUGCCUGUCUCCCUACAUCUGCCCUGCCAUGCUGCCAUACAUACCACGAUGAAUCAUGAACAGGAAAGGGCUCAUGGUAUGCACAGAGAGAGAAAUUCAGCAGAUGCCCCUGUUGGUACAUGCAUGGACAUAAACACAGGAGAAGCCCUUGCUUUUUACCCCUAAGAGGCGAUGCCCUGAUGUGUUAGCAUUAGCAGCCUGUGGAUUUCUGAAACUCACUGGAACAGAAAUUCAAAAAGGCCAACCUAUAUCAUUUUAGCAGAGACAACAACAGAAAGCAAAAGAGAGGAAAAAAAAAAAGAAAAGAAAGGAAGAAAGAACCCCCACCUCCCCCAAGAAUAUUGGGGAUGAGAGAAUUUAAACAGCCAGAAAUAUCUCCUGUGAGAUUCAACAUCAGGAUAAUUUCACAGUCUCGCUUUUUGACUGCUGUGUCCUGAAACUGACCAGCACCAUGCAAGGCUGAUCAAAGGCCAUCGGAAACAUCAAACUGCUGAAAAGUGAAAAGAAAAUGUACUGAUUAUUUGCAGACAAAACAGCUGCCAGAUUCCUUUUGUGAUACUGUCACCAUGAUAAGCUACCAAGAACUGCACAGAUGGUGUUCAAACAAAUCAAGAAGCAGAAGCUGCAAACGAGAGAAAAAAAACAACGGAGAAACUCAUAUAUUUCUUCAAACGAU